rnacentral:tmRNA from 1 species
GGGGUAGUCAAGGUUUCGACAGGGGUUCUGAAUCUGGAGAAGCUAUCCGCAGGUGAUGCGUUAAAUCACAACCUAAAAUUAAACGCUGACAAUAGAGUAGCGUUAGCAGCCUAAGCUGCUUGUCCGACCGGUCAGACCUGCAUUUCCGGAUCCGGGCAUCAUGAACGCAGGAAACGACUGACAUUAAGCUUUGCUUGUUAGGGCGUAUUUAUGAAGCUACUAAAGGAUUAAGGAUGUAAUUCUUCGUAAUCCGGAGGGAAUGUUAAACGAAUUACUAUGAUAGUAGAAGGACAGGGGAUUUGCCUUUGGACACGGGUUCGACUCCCGUCUACUCCACU